rnacentral:misc_RNA from 1 species
AACGCACCUUGCGCCCUCGGGUAUUCCUGAGGGCAUGCCUGUUUGAGUGUCGUGUUACCCCUCUCAUAGCAUUUCAUUUGUUAUGGAUCGUGGCUGCGUUUUCUGCAUCCUAUGUGGAAUCGGCCGAAAUUGUUGCGUUGUGCUUGCACACGAAAAUAAACACGUGGUUUGACCGGCGCCGUCAUCUGCAAAUGUUGUAAUUUCCUCGUUUGCUGGGCGGCGCUUUGCGGCCAAUCCCAAAACUCAUUUAUGACCUCAAGUCAGGUAGGACUACCCGCUGAACUUAA